CAGUCGCCGCGGGAAUGCGUAGGAGGCAAGCGUUGUCCGGAAUUAUUGGGCGUAAAGGGCUCGCAGGCGGUUUCUUAAGUCUGAUGUGAAAGCCCCCGGCUCAACCGGGGAGGGUCAUUGGAAACUGGGAAACUUGAGUGCAGAAGAGGAGAGCGGAAUUCCACGUGUAGCGGUGAAAUGCGUAGAGAUGUGGAGGAACACCAGUGGCGAAGGCGACUCUCUGGUCUGUAACUGACGCUGAGGAGCGAAAGCGUGGGGAGCGAACAGGAUUAGAUACCCCGGUAGUCCCUGUCUCUUAUAC
rnacentral:rRNA from 1 species